rnacentral:rRNA from 1 species
UUGGCUUUACCCGAAGGUGGUGCGCUACCCGCAAGGGAGGCAGCCAACCACGGUAGGGUCAGCGACUGGGGUGAAGUCGUAACAAGGUAGCCGUAGGUGAACCUGCAGAAGGAUCA